UUAGCACCUGAGAUCAAUUAAGUCUGUGAGUCAUUAGUCCUCAGGGCUCACUUUGGGAUUGGCCCAUUGGGGACACAGCACUAGUG